GGAUGUGAGGGCGAUCUGGCUGAGACAUCUGUCACCCCAUUGAUCACCAGGGUUGAUUCGGCUGAUCUGGCUGGCUAGGAGGGUGUCCCCUUCUUCCCUCAAUGCUCCAUGUGCAUCCCUUCUGAAGCUGCGCGCUCCGUCGAAGAGGAGGACCACACUCGAUAGAGGAGGACCGUUCCUCAGUCAAGGGUAUAUGAGUAGCUGUGCUUCCGUGCUAGAACCUCCAAAUAAGCUCUCAAUACACAAGUAUUUCACAAAAUUGUUUUUCCUGAACACCUCCAAAUAUAUAACACAAAAAUCAAUAUCAAUUU
rnacentral:snRNA from 1 species